GUGAGGAAUUUUCCGCAAUGGGCGAAAGCCUGACGGAGCAAUGCCGCGUGAAGGAUGAAGGCCUAUGGGUUGUAAACUUCUUUUCUUAGAGAAGAAUAUUGACGGUAUCUGAGGAAUAAGCAUCGGCUAACUCUGUGCCAGCAGCCGCGGUAAGACAGAGGAUGCAAGCGUUAUCCGGAAUGAUUGGGCGUAAAGCGUCUGUAGGUGGCUUCAAAAGUCUCCUGUCAAAGAUCAGGGCUUAACGCUGGGACGGCAGGUGAAACUCUUAGGCUAGAGUUUGGUAGGGGCAGAGGGAAUUCCCGGUGGAGCGGUAAAAUGCGUAGGGAUCGGGAGGAACACCAAAGGAGAAAGCACUCUGCUGGGCCACAACUGACACUGAGAGACGAAAGCGAGGGGAGCAAAAGGGAUUAGAAACCCUAGUAGUCC
rnacentral:rRNA from 1 species